CUCUGGCACAGGAGCUCCAGCCCCAGGACUCCCAGGUGUCCACUCAGUGCUCGCACUCAACACAGACGCUCACCAUGGGGACUGGGCUGCGCUGGCUUCUCCUUGUCGCUGUGCUCAAAGGUGUCCAGUGUCAGUCGCUGGAGGAGUCCAGGGGAGGCCUGUUCAAGCCUGGGGGAUCCCUGAAACUCUCCUGCAAAGCCUCCGGAUUCAUCUUCAGUGACAACUAUGCAAUGUGCUGGUUCCGCCAGGCUCCAGGGAAGGGGUUGGAGUGGAUCGCAUACAUUAAGACUGGUAGUGGUAGCACAUGGUACGCGAGCUGGGUGAAUGGCCGAUUCACCAUGUCCAGAAACACCAAGGACAACACGGUGUCUCUGAAAAUGACUACUCUGACUGCCGCGGACAUGGCCACCUAUUUCUGUGUGAGAGACACAUGA